rnacentral:rRNA from 1 species
UACAGAGGUCCCGAGCGUUGUUCGGAUUCACUGGGCGUAAAGCGUCCGUAGGUGGCUAGUCAAGUCUGCGGUCAAAGACUGGGGCUUAACCCUGGAAAGGCCGUGGAAACUGACGAGCUAGAGUGCAGUAGGGGUAGAGGGAAUUCCCGGUGUAGCGGUGAAAUGCGUAGAGCUCGGGAAGAACAUCGGUGGCGAAAGCGCUCUACUGGACUGCAACUGACACUCAGGGACGAAAGCUAGGGGAGCGAAUGGG